rnacentral:tRNA from 1 species
CUGGAGCGAAAGGAUUCGAACCUUUGAUUGUCGGACUCAAAUUCAGAUGCCUUACCUCUUGGCUACGCUCCA